GACGAACGCUAGCGGCGUGCUUAACACAUGCAAGUCGAACGGAAAGGCCCUGCUUUUGUGGGGUGCUCGAGUGGCGAACGGGUGAGUAACACGUGAGUAACCUGCCCUUGACUUUGGGAUAACUUCAGGAAACUGGGGCUAUUACCGGAUAGGAGCUCCUGCUGCAUGGUGGUGGUUGGAAAGUUUCGGCGGUUGGGGAUGGACUCGCGGCUUAUCAGCUUGUUGGUGGGGUAGUGGCUUACCAAGGCUUUGACGGGUAGCCGGCCUGAGAGGGUGACCGGCCACAUUGGGACUGAGAUACGGCCCAGCCUCCUACGGGAGGCAGCAGUGGGGAAUAUUGCACAAUGGGCGGAAGCCUGAUGCAGCAACGCCGCGUGCGGAAUAACGGCCUUCGGGUUGUAAACCGCUUUCGCCUGUGACGAAGCGUGAGUGACGGUAAUUGGUAAAGAAGCACCGGCUAACUACGUG
rnacentral:rRNA from 1 species